UUAUUUAUUUAUUUUUGGCUGCCUUGGGUCUUCGUUGUUGGGUCUUCUUUGCGGUGCGUGGGCUUCUCACUGCUGUGGCUUCUCUUGUUGCGGAGCACGGGCUCUAGGCGCUCGGGCUUCAGUAGUUGUGGCUCGUGGGCUCAGUAGUUGUGGCUUGCGGACUCUAGAGCGCAGGCUCAGUAGCUGUGGCGCACGGGCUUAGUUGCUUCGCGGCAUGUGGGAUCUUCCCGGACCAGGGCUCGAACCCGUGUCCCCUGCAUUGGCAGGCGGAUUCUUAACCGCUGCGCCACCAGGGAAGCCCCUAAACUGCUUAUUUCAAUAGAUAAAAUGAAAAUGUAGUCAGAGAGAAUUUGUGGUAGAACCUGAGCAUGCCGAGUUGCCAGGAAUUUGCAAAAGCCUUUAAUAUACAAUAAUUUCCGUUGCGAUAGAAAAACUUUAUACAGUUACUGAUAUACCAACUUAUGUUAGCCAGGGGGAAAAAGUUUACACACCUGGUUGAAUGUGUUUACCAAUUAUAUUUAUUCAGUUUCCUGUUACAAAACCAGAACAUGGCCUGGAAAAUCCUAAUUGUUUGCCUGUGACAUUAUUUCCAUGAGGAGUAAUCAUCCCAGAAACUAUUAGAGGGCCUUGGAAUAUAUUCAUCUGACCUAUUCUACCUAUCCCAUUUAAAGGACAGCAUCUGAAGAUUUAAUAACAAAAAGCAGUUGAAGCAUUCCAAGCUGGAUAAUCAGGUUGAUUUUGAUGAUGAAAAUCGUCCAACUUUUGCUAAUCAAGUUAGGGGCAUAUAUAAUGUCUUCACAAUUAUUGCAUUUCCAGAUUAAUGGACAGCAGAUUUCCAGUUUUUUAAUUAUGAUGUGCUGACACCUGGGAAAGACACUGUACGACAACGCAAGUGGCCCUUUCUUUUUUCUUUCAAAGCUACUCAAGGAACGUACAGAAGGCCCCAGCCAAUUAAACUUCCUUCCUAAGGGUGUGACUGUGACUGCCGUAGUGUGGUUAUACUGCCACUAAUCCCAGGAUGGCAUCGCUUCAGAGGCCAACUGGAUAAACCAAGAGGCUGGAACCCUUAGACCCUCCCUCCUGCAACACACAGCCUCCCUUCCCUUCUGCCCAUGUUUACGUCACCCUGAGGGGCGUGUCCUGACGGAGGCGGCAGCGCCAAACAGGCCGCGUGGUUAACCUAGAGAGCGCAACAGGUAAUCCUCUGGUUAUCAGUGACGGCACUCUUCUCCAGAGCGUCCUGCACACUGCCGACAUCCGCCUCGCAGGAUGCACUGAAAGCUGCAAGUGCAGCUCAACAGAGAGGAAUAACCUUUUCCAGAAAUGCUUUAUUGCUACAAGUUGUGAGGUCUCCAACCAUCAAAAUUGGAACAAAACUUAAGGUUUCAGCCCCCCCCACGGGGCAGCACAGACACUUCAUGGGGCUGUUUUUAAUGCAGGUUUGACAGUGGACCCAGCAAAGUUCAGAUGACAGCAGAAUGGUAUAAAGAAACCUUGCCUGUAAUCGAAAGAGGUGGAGCACGAGCUAGAAGAGGAAGACUACCUUCCAUCUGAAAGAUCAGUCUUCCUUUGAAUUCUCUCGGUUAAGAGUAACGUCAAAAUUUAAGGCUGGUAGUUACUAAGACAAGGAUAUACGUUACCUGGUAAGAAAAUCCAACACUUCACUUUUAAACUUUUUCCAAACAGAUGCUACA